UACGUAGGGUCCGAGCGUUGUCCGGAAUUACUGGGCGUAAAGAGCUCGUAGGCGGUUUGUCGCGUCUGCUGUGAAAACCCGAGGCUCAACCUCGGGCCUGCAGUGGGUACGGGCAGACUAGAGUGCGGUAGGGGAGAUUGGAAUUCCUGGUGUAGCGGUGGAAUGCGCAGAUAUCGGGAAGAACACCCGUGGCGAAGGCGGCUCUCUGGGACGGUACUGACGCUGAGACGCGAAAGCGUGGGGAGCGAACAGG
rnacentral:rRNA from 1 species